rfam:Mustela putorius furo unplaced genomic scaffold scaffold00047, whole genome shotgun sequence.
UGCCCUGGGCUCCUGGGUUGCCUGGGUCUGCUUUCCUCUCACUGAGAAGGCCUCUCACUCUGCUCCCGAGGACUGAGGCUGUCUGCCCUGCGC